CCCGAAUUAAAAAGAGCUACCUUUAUAAAGUAGUAUAAUCGUUGUAAAGCUUAUAAGAAUUAUAGGGUAGAUGCUAUAUACUAUUCGCGUUUUAAGAUAUCUGGUUGAUAUAAAAAAAUAUUUAGUACUGUCUUUUUGAUUAAAGCGACAGGCUAUUUGGGAUAAGCUAAGUAGCGUUAAAUUGAGACUAAGGUUAAAUGAAUAAUAAUUAUUUCAGUAAGCUUAAUAUUAGUUACCAUAAAUUAACUUUUUAUCAAAAAAAUAGUUGGGGCACAAAUUUAUUUAUGGUCUCAUAAACUAUAUAUAUAUCUAUAAAUUAUUAGUUUAGUAAUAAUGAAUUAAAUAAGUAAAAAAUUAAGUUGAUAAAAGUAACUAACUAAUUGCUUUGUUUUAUUGCUAAAAACUUUAUCUAAUGAAUUCGGCAAAUUUGGUUCUUCGACUGUUUAACAAAAACAUUUCCUUAUGAAAUUAAUAUAAGGUAGGCCCUGCCCGGUGUAAGUGAUGAGCUUAUUAACGGCGGCGUUAGCGUGAGCGUCCGAAGGUAGCGCGAUAAUUUGCCCUUUAAUUGGGGGCUGGAAUGAAAGGGUUAACGUGAGAAUCACUGUCUCAGGUAAAGAAAAUUAAAAUUAAUAUUUAGGUGAAGAAGCCUAAAUUUAAAAAAAGGACGACAAGACCCUAUGAAGCUUUAUCUAGUUAAACUUGUGAAUAGGUUUAAACAGAAUUUAAUGGGAUAUUAAGGAAAGAAAGUCUUUCUUUUUAAUGUUGUCUUACUAGAUAUUUCUGUUAUAUAACAAUAAAGACAAGCUACUCUAGGGAUAACAGCGCGAUUUUUCCCGAGAGAUGGUAUCGGAGGAAAAGGUUGCGACCUCGAUGUUGGCUUUAGGUAUCCAAGAAGUGCAGCAGCUUCUAAUGGUGGGUCUGUUCGCCCUUUAAAACCUAACAUGAGCUGAGUUCAGAACGGCGUGAGCUAGUUCAGUUUCUAUCCUUUUUUAAAAUAAAAGGAUGAUUUGUACGAAAGGACU
rnacentral:rRNA from 1 species